CCCGCACAAGCGGUGGAGCAUGUUGGUUUAAUUCGAUGAUACGCGAGGAACCUUACCUGGCUCAAAUGUAUGUUGACGUAUUCUGAAAGGGAUACUUCUUCGGACAAUAUACAAGGUGCUGCAUGGUUGUCGUCAGCUCGUGCCGUGAGGUGUCGGGUUAAGUCCCAUAACGAGCGCAACCCCUAUCAUUAGUUGCCAUCAGGUCAAGCUGGGGACUCUAAUGAAACUGCCUACGCAAGUAGUGAGGAAGGUGGGGAUGACGUCAAAUCAGCACGGCCCUUACGUCCAGGGCUACACACGUGCUACAAUGGCCGGUACAAAGGGCAGCUACCUGGUGACAGGAUGCUAAUCUCAAAAGCCGGUCUCAGUUCGGAUCGGAGUCUGCAACCCGACUCCGUGAAGUUGGAUUCGCUAGUAAUCGCGCAUCAGCCAUGGCGCGGUGAAUACGUUCCCGGGCCUU
rnacentral:rRNA from 1 species